GGUUAAGCGACUAAGCGUACACGGUGGAUGCCCUGGCAGUCAGAGGCGAUGAAGGGCGUGCUAAUCUGCGAUAAGCGCCGGUAAGGUGAUAUGAACCGUUAUAACCGGCGAUACCCGAAUGGGGAAACCCAGUGUGACUCGUCACACUAUCAUUAACUGAAUCCAUAGGUUAAUGAGGCGAACCGGGGGAACUGAAACAUCUAAGUACCCCGAGGAAAAGAAAUCAACCGAGAUUCCCCCAGUAGCGGCGAGCGAACGGGGAGGAGCCCAGAGCCUGAAUCAGCAUGUGUGUUAGUGGAAGCGUCUGGAAAGGCGCGCGAUACAGGGUGACAGCCCCGUACACAAAAGCGCAUGUGCUGUGAGCUCGAUGAGUAGGGCGGGACACGUGGUAUCCUGUCUGAAUAUGGGGGGACCAUCCUCCAAGGCUAAAUACUCCUGACUGACCGAUAGUGAACCAGUACCGUGAGGGAAAGGCGAAAAGAACCCCGGCGAGGGGAGUGAAAAAGAACCUGAAACCGUGUACGUACAAGCAGUGGGAGCCCCACCACCAAAGCAUUUGCUGUACCGCGUUGACGGAGCGAAGCGACGUCAAACCGAUAAAACAGCAGUGUAAAGUGAGCCGCAGGGCGCUUUGCGCGACAGCGCAAAGGCAGGCGGUUUCGCGUAGCGAAAGCGAAUGCUUUGGGGUGGGGUGACUGCGUACCUUUUGUAUAAUGGGUCAGCGACUUAUAUUCUGUAGCAAGGUUAACCGAAUAGGGGAGCCGGAGGGAAACCGAGUCUUAAUUGGGCGUUAAGUUGCAGGGUAUAGACCCGAAACCCGGUGAUCUAGCCAUGGGCAGGUUGAAGGUUGGGUAACACUAACUGGAGGACCGAACCGACUAAUGUUGAAAAAUUAGCGGAUGACCUGUGGCUGGGGGUGAAAGGCCAAUCAAACCGGGAGAUAGCUGGUUCUCCCCGAAAGCUAUUUAGGUAGCGCCUCGUGAAUUCAUCUCCGGGGGUAGAGCACUGUUUCGGCUAGGGGGCCAUCCCGGCUUACCAACCCGAUGCAAACUGCGAAUACCGGAGAAUGUUAUCACGGGAGACACACGGCGGGUGCUAACGUCCGUCGUGAAGAGGGAAACAACCCAGACCGCCAGCUAAGGUCCCAAAGUCAUGGUUAAGUGGGAAACGAUGUGGGAAGGCCCAGACAGCCAGGAUGUUGGCUUAGAAGCAGCCAUCAUUUAAAGAAAGCGUAAUAGCUCACUGGUCGAGUCGGCCUGCGCGGAAGAUGUAACGGGGCUAAACCAUGCACCGAAGCUGCGGCAGCGACACUGUGUGUUGUUGGGUAGGGGAGCGUUCUGUAAGCCUGUGAAGGUGUGUCGUGAGGCAUGCUGGAGGUAUCAGAAGUGCGAAUGCUGACAUAAGUAACGAUAAAGCGGGUGAAAAGCCCGCUCGCCGGAAGACCAAGGGUUCCUGUCCAACGUUAAUCGGGGCAGGGUGAGUCGACCCCUAAGGCGAGGCCGAAAGGCGUAGUCGAUGGGAAACGGGUUAAUAUUCCCGUACUUGGUGUUACUGCGAAGGGGGGACGGAGAAGGCUAUGUUGGCCGGG
rnacentral:rRNA from 3 species